AGCAGCCGCGGUAAUUCCAGCUCCAAUAGCGUAUAUUAAAGUUGUUGCAGUUAAAAAGCUCGUAGUUGAAUUUCGAGACCGGUUUACUGGUCGUGCUUUUGUACGUACUGGUAUUAUUGGUUUCUCCUUUCUGACGAAUCUUAAUGCCAUUAAUUUGGUGUUUUGGGGAAUCAGGACUGUUACUUUGAAAAAAUUAGAGUGUUUAAAGCAGGCUCACGCUUGAAUACAUUAGCAUGGAAUAACGGAAUAGGACGUUUGAUUCUAUUUUGUUGGUUUCUAGGAUCGACGUAAUGAUUAAUAGGGAUAGUUGGGGGCAUUAGUAUUCAAUUGUCAGAGGUGAAAUUCUUGGAUUUAUUGAAGACUAACUACUGCGAAAGCAUUUGCCAGGAUGUUUUCAUUAAUCAAGAACGAAAGUUAGGGGAUCGAAGACGAUCAGAUACCGUCGCAGUCUUAACCAUAAACUAUGCCGACUAGGGAUCGGAUGAUGUUAAUUUUUUAAUGUACUCAUUCGGCGCCUUAC
rnacentral:rRNA from 1 species